rnacentral:lncRNA from 1 species
UAAAUGACAUAAUCCAUGUAAGUUCAGCACCAAGACAAGGGUAUAUUAAGAUUUAAAUAAAAGCCAGCCAUUAUUGUUCUAGCUCUGACAUGGUAAGACUUUGUGUGGUUCCUCCACGUUCUUUUCACUAAGCCCUUCGAACUUCUGUGUUGCCCCAAAUAUAGUGAUAUUAGAGAUGGCUUCUUUACUCUUUUUCUCAAAUACGUUUCCUGAAAAUGGAAAAGAUGUGUCCACGGUAACCAGAGAGAGGUGACCAGCAGAGAUGGAGGGAGAAAGGUUGGCUCGGAAGUGGUCCAGAAUAUGUGAGCCUGGAGUAACUGUGUCAGCGCCUUUCUAGGCAGCUGCCACAGGAGAGCCAGCAGAUUCCACCUUCCAGGAUUUCAGAGAACCGAGACCAUGGGUGUUGACUAGGUUUUCACAAAGGAUCCUGCCCUGGUUGGGCUGCUUUGAAUCCCGCCUGCCAGACCCAAGUCUUACGAUCCAAACCGGGAAUGAGCUGCUACUAUGGAAAGUGAGAUUUUUACUGCAGGAUUAAGAAACCAUCGCACUUUUUCAAUUGCAUCAGGCCUGACGUCCCCGGGAUUGACUAGUCAGCUCAUUUAAACCAGGUGCAGGUCUUGUGGCCGGUUCUUUAACGGGCAGACAUUAUUAGCUACCCUGUGGCUGUCUUUCUCAUUUUUCUAACCUCUUCCAAACUUUGCAGACAGUUUCAGGAAGCCAUGCACACUGCCAGGGGCCAAGGAGAAGCUGGGAGGUCACGGUGGUAGCAAUGCGCUCCAGCAUCACGGGAGCCAAGCAAUUGCUGGCGGCCCUGGGUCUGCUCCCUUCCAAUAGGAGAAAGACCAGCUUUCCUUCGACAUCAGGAGAUCCUCCCAGCCAAUGCGAGGCCAGACCCCGGUGACUCACCCCACAGUGUGGGGUUUCUCAAGCAGAUGUUCCUGGACCACAUGAAAAGCUGGCAGAGCACUGGGAAGUGUCCUGGGGACACCUGGCACUCUGUCAGGAUCCAGGGACAGGAACCAAGGCUCAGAUUUCCAAUCCCCGGGAUGGAGACCAAGCCGAGAAAGAGCUAUUAUCAAGUCAAUGAGGCAUCUGACAACUGGUUAAGGACGAACAGGUUGACGCACAUAAACAAGGGAGAAAAUCAACCAGGAAACAACCUCGCCCCACAGCAAGUUUCCCUGCAUUUUUACCACCCACAAUCCUUUUUGCUAUUUUUCUUCUCCUUGACCUUGGGUUUUGACGGUUUUUAUCUACCAAAUUCCAUUUGUUAUAAAUGUUUCCUCCAUUUUUUAAAUAAUUAAAAACAAAUAGCAACUCAUACGCCAGUGUUCAGAGCCCCAUUAUGCACAGUAGCCAAAAGGUGGAAGCAACCUAAAUAUCCACCGAUGGAGGAAUGGAUAAACUAAACGUGGUCCAGCCAUGUGAUGGGAGAUGAUUCAGACUUCAAAAGGACACGCGUGGGGGCCGGCCCCGUGGCCAAGUGGUCAAAGAUCCACGUGUGCUCCACUUCAGCGGCCUGGGGUUCACAGGUUCAGAUCCCGGGAGUGGACCUACUCCACUCAACAGCCAU